UAGAAAAAUGUAAUGAACUACUCAAACUAUAAUUUACUAAUUAAAUUGACAAAAAAGUCAAUGGUAAACAAUAAAUAUAAACAAGAAGAUGUGGUUUGAACACUGUCCAUUCGAGUCCCAAUGUAAUAAAAGUUAACUAUAGGUCAAAGUACGAAGCCGCGGCGCACACCAAUCAGCAAACUAUAAAUUAUAGUGUAAAACCAUUCAUACAGGACGACUGAGGACUUAUAACAGAGAAACACAUAUGAACCAAACCAACAAACCACAUCCAUCGAACAAUAGGUUACUGACUUAGGACAAGCGCAUACAAAUGCAGAAUGUGUUUGAUAUAUUAUAACUAGUAUUUCAAGUUAAAACAUAGUUGUUAAUCAUAAAGUUAAAUCAUCAAUAUGUUUUAUCAUUAAAAGAAAGCUUCGUGUCGAAAGUUGUGAAAUCAAGGAUCUAUGACAUAAAAUUGCUAUAGGAGGCAUUUUGAUUUUUUGUAUAAUUAGAUUCUUAAUUUUAAGCUAGAGAUGUCCAUCAGAAACCAAAGAUUAUGUCAAUGCUUCAUUACGUCUAAAUGUGAUGAUAGUCGAAGAUAAAUACGUUACUGACCAGACACUAUAUAAACGUUACACAAUGUGUUAUUGACCAGACACUGUAUAAACGUUACACAAUGUGUUAUUGACCAGACACUAUAUAAACGGAGUCGUUUGUGGCAUUAACCGAUUCUGAUUUUAUCGCUUAAGGUCAAAAGCACACUGUAUCUGAUUAUAUUCUCAGUUAAUGCAAUUUGUGUAUUGAUUCUGUAUACCUAUUAUUAUUGAUUCUGUAUACCUAUUAUUGUUUAUUCUGUAUACCUAUUAUUAUUACUUUUACUUUUAACUGUUUAUCUUUUUCUGUUUUGUAAUUGUUUCAUUAGUAUUAUUGAUAUGAGUAUACCACAUCAAUU
rnacentral:lncRNA from 1 species